CCGGUACUGAGUCAGUGUGGAGGUUAUAUACAGGGGGUACCAGUACUGAGUCAGUGUGGAGGUUAUAUACAGGGGGUACCGGUACUGAGUCAGUGUGGAGGUUAUAUACAGGGGGUACCAGUACUGAGUCAAUGUGGAGGCUAUAUACAGGGGGUACCAGUACUGAGUCAGUGUGGAGGCUAUAUACAGGGGGUACCAGUACUGAGUCAGUGUGGAGGUUAUAUACAGGGGGUACCAGUACUGAGUCAGUGUGGAGGCUAUAUACAGGGGGUACCGGUACUGAGUCAGUGUGGAGGCUAUAUACAGGGGGUACCAGUACUGAGUCAGUGUGGAGGCUAUAUACAGGGGGUACCAGUACUGAGUCAGUGUG
ensembl:lncRNA